CUUUGCACACUACCCUUUUUCAA
rnacentral:snRNA from 1 species